GUGAGGGAUAUUGCACAAUGGGCGCAAGCCUGAUGCAGCGACGCCGCGUGAGGGAAGACGGUCCUCUGGAUUGUAAACCUCUGUCUUAUGGGACGAAAAUGACGGUACCAUAGGAGGAAGCCCCGGCUAACUACGUGCCAGCAGCCGCGGUAAUACGUAGGGGGCGAGCGUUGUCCGGAAUUACUGGGUGUAAAGGGAGCGUAGGCGGGAAGGUAAGUCUGUUGUGAAAUCUAUCGGCUCAACCGAUAGCUGCGGCAGAAACUGCCAUUCUUGAGUGGAGUAGAGGCAGGCGGAAUUCCUAGUGUAGCGGUGAAAUGCGUAGAUAUUAGGAGGAACACCAGUGGCGAAGGCGGCCUGCUGGGCUUUUACUGACGCUGAGGCUCGAAAGUGCGGGGAGCAAACAGGA
rnacentral:rRNA from 1 species